ACUCCUACGGGAGGCAGCAGUGGGGAAUAUUGGACAAUGGGCGAAAGCCUGAUCCAGCAAUGCCGCGUGUGUGAAGAAGGCCUUCGGGUUGUAAAGCACUUUCAGUGGGGAAGAAAUACUCAAGUGUAAUAUACUUGAGGGCUGACAUUACCCACAGAAGAAGCACUGGCUAACUCUGUGCCAGCAGCCGCGGUAAUACAGAGAGUGCGAGCGUUAAUCGGAAUUACUGGGCGUAAAGCGCGCGCAGGUGGAUGCUUAAGUCGGAUGUAAAAGCCCUGGGCUUAACCUAGGAACUGCAUUCGAUACUGAGUAUCUAGAGUAUGGUAGAGGGAAGUGGAAUUUCCGGUGUAGCGGUGAAAUGCGUAGAUAUCGGAAGGAACACCAGUGGCGAAGGCGGCUUCCUGGACCAAUACUGACACUGAGGCGCGAAAGCGUGGGGAGCAAACAGGAUUAGAUACCCUGGUAGCGAGUAG
rnacentral:rRNA from 1 species